rnacentral:rRNA from 1 species
CAAUAGCGUAUAUUAAAGUUGUUGCAGUUAAAAAGCUCGUAGUUGGAUUUCUGGUGGGAGCGAUCGGUCUGGCGCUUAGCGCGAGUACUUGCAUCGUCUCCGGCCAUCCUUGGGGAGAGUCUGUCUGGCAUUAGGUUGUCGGGCAGAGGAUCCUCAUCGUUUACUGUGAAAAAAUUAGAGUGUUCAAAGCAGGCUUAUGCCGUUGAAUAUAUUAGCAUGGAAUAAUAAGAUAGGACCUUGGUACUAUUUUGCUGGUUUGCGCACCAAAGUAAUGAUUAAUAGGGACAGUUGGGGGUAUUCGUAUUCCGUUGUCAGAGGUGAAAUUCUUGGAUUUACGGAAGACGAACUACUGCGAAAGCAUUUACCAAGGAUGUUUUCAUUAA